AAGCCGCCCGUACCCCAAACCGACACUGGUGGUCAGGUAGAGAAUACCAAAGCGAUCGAGCGAAUCCUGGUCAAGGAACUCGGCAAAUCACUCCCGUUCCUUCGGUUUAAGGGAGACCCCCGAUGGUGAACACACUUGCUGUGGGAGCUUUUGGGGGUGGCACAGACCAGGGGGUAGCGACUGUUUACCAAAAACACAGGUGCAUGCGAAGGCGCAAGCCGCUGUAUAUGCACUGACGCCUGCCCGGUGCCGGAAGGUUAAGAGGAUCCGUCAGCCUUCGGGUGAAGCGGUGAAUUCAAGCCCCGGUAAACGGCGGUGGUAACUAUAACCAUCCUAAGGUAGCGAAAUUCCUUGUCGGGUAAGUUCCGACCUGCACGAAUGGCGUAACGACUUCCCCACUGUCUCGACCAGGAGCUCGGCGAAAUUGCAGUACGAGUAAAGAUGCUCGUUAAGCGCAGAAGGACGAAAAGACCCCGGGACCUUUACUAUACCUUGGUAUUGGCAUUCGGUGUGGAUUGUGUAGCAUAGGCGGGAGGCCGAGAGGCGCGGUCGCCAGAUCGCGCGGAGCCGUAAGGUGAAAUACCGCUCUGUUCGCAUUGGAUGUCUAACCUCGAACAGUCAUCCUGUUCAGGGACAGUGCCUGGCGGGUAGUUUAACUGGGGCGGUUGCCUCCCAAAGAGUAACGGAGGCGCCCAAAGGUCCGCUCAGCCCGGUUGGCAAUCGGGUGGCGAGUGCAAGUGCACAAGCGGGCUUGACUGCGAGGACGACGGUCCGAGCAGGGACGAAAGUCGGGACUAGUGAUCCGGUGCCGGUGUACGGACGCGGCAUCGCUCAACGGAUAAAAGGUACCCCGGGGAUAACAGGCUGAUCAUUCCCAAGAGUCCAUAUCGACGGGAUGGUUUGGCACCUCGAUGUCGGCUCGUCGCAUCCUGGGGCUGGAGCAGGUCCCAAGGGUUCGGCUGUUCGCCGAUUAAAGCGGCACGCGAGCUGGGUUCAGAACGUCGUGAGACAGUUUGGUCUCUAUCCUCUGCGCUCGUUGGAAUGCUGAGGAGGCCUGCCCAUAGUACGAGAGGACCUGGGUGGACGAACCUCUGGUAUGCCGGUUGUCACGCCAGUGGCACGGCCGGUUGGCUACGUUCGGAAGGGAUAACCGCUGAAAGCAUCUAAGCGGGAAGCCUGCUCCAAGAUAAGCAUUCCGUGGAACCUUCGAGUUCCUGUAGUCCCCAUGCAGAACACGUGGUCGAUAGGCCGGACGUGGAAGCCCCGCGAGGGGUGGAGCCGACCGGUACUAACGGACGAAAGGCAACACUAA
rnacentral:rRNA from 1 species